rnacentral:pre_miRNA from 1 species
AGUAGAAUUACUGGGUCAUGUUAAUUGUACAUUUGACUUUUUGAGGAACUUCCAAAUUAUUUUCCAAAGGGGCUUUACCAUUUUACAUUCCCUCUAUAAAA